rnacentral:rRNA from 1 species
UAAGGAAUAUUGCGCAAUGGGGGAAACCCUGACGCAGCAACGCCGCGUGGAGGAUGACACUUUUCGGAGCGUAAACUCCUUUUAUCAGGAAAGAAUAAUGACGGUACCUGAUGAAUAAGCACCGGCUAACUCCGUGCCAGCAGCCGCGGUAAUACGGGGGGUGCAAGCGUUACUCGGAAUCACUGGGCGUAAAGGACGCGUAGGCGGAUUAUCAAGUCUUUUGUGAAAUCUAGUGGCUUAACCACUAAACUGCUUAGGAAACUGAUAGGCUAGAGUAGGGGAGAGGUAGAUGGAAUUCUUGGUGUAGGGGUAAAAUCCGUAGAGAUCAAGAAGAAUACCCAUUGCGAAAGCGAUCUGCUGGAACCUAACUGACGCUGAGGCGUGAAAGCGUGGGUAGCAAACAGG